AGUAAUGCCUAGGAAUCUGCCUGGUAGUGGGGGACGAACGUUUCGAAAGGAACGCUAAUACCGCAUACGUCCUACGGGAGAAAGCAGGGACCUUCGGGCCUUGCGCUAUCAGAUGAGCCUAGGUCGGAUUAGCUAGUUGGUGAGGUAAUGGCUCACCAAGGCGACGAUCCGUAACUGGUCUGAGAGGAUGAUCAGUCACACUGGAACUGAGACACGGUCCAGACUCCUACGGGAGGCAGCAGGC
rnacentral:rRNA from 1 species